rnacentral:rRNA from 1 species
UACGUAGGGGGCAAGCGUUGUCCGGAAUCAUUGGGCGUAAAGAGCGUGUAGGCGGCCCGAUAAGUCCGCUGUGAAAGUCCAGGGCUCAACCCUGGGAUGCCGGUGGAUACUGUCGGGCUCGAGUCCGGAAGAGGAGUGUGGAAUUCCUGGUGUAGCGGUGAAAUGCGCAGAUAUCGGGAGGAACACCUGUGGCGAAGGCGGGUCUCUGGGCCGAUACUGACGCUGAGGAGCGAAAGCGUGGGGAGCGAACAGG